AAUGCCGCGUGUGUGAAGAAGGCCUGCGGGUUGUAAAGCACUUUCAGUUGGGAAGAAAUCACAGGGUUAAUACCCCUGUGCCUUGACAUCACCAACAGAAGAAGCACCGGCUAACUCCGUGCCAGCCACUUCGGUGACUGAGCGGGCUGGCAAGGCGCAUA
rnacentral:rRNA from 1 species